CCUACGGGAGGCAGCAGUGGGGAAUAUUGGGCAAUGGGCGCAAGCCUGACCCAGCAACGCCGCGUGAAGGAAGAAGGCUUUCGGGUUGUAAACUUCUUUUCGCAGGGACGAAGAAAGUGACGGUACCUGAGGAAUAAGCCACGGCUAACUACGUGCCAGCAGCCGCUGUAAUACGUAGGUGGCAAGCGUUAUCCGGAUUUACUGGGUGUAAAGGGCGUGUAGGCGGGAAAGCAAGUCAGAUGUGAAAUCCAUGGGCUCAACCUGUGGCCUGCAUUUGAAACUGGUUUUCUUGAGUGCUGGAGAGGCAGACGGAAUUCCUAGUGUAGCGGUGAAAUGCGUAGAUAUGAGGAGGAACACCAGUGGCGAAGGCGGUCUACUGGACAGCAACUGACGCUGAGGCGCGAAAGCGUGGGGAGCAAACAGGAUUAGAUACCCCGGUAGUC
rnacentral:rRNA from 1 species